AUUGAACGCUGGCGGCAUCCCUUACACAUGCAAGUCGAACGGCAGCACGGGAGCAAUCCUGGUGGCGAGUGGCGAACGGGUGAGUAAAGUAUCGGAACGUGCCCAGUCGUGGGGGAUAACGUAGCGAAAGUUACGCUAAUACCGCAUACGAUCUAUGGAUGAAAGCGGGGGAUCGCAAGACCUCGCGCGAUUGGAGCGGCCGAUAUCAGAUUGGGUAGUUGGUGGGGUAAAGGCUCACCAAGCCGACGAUCUGUAGCGGGUCUGAGAGGACGACCAGCCACACUGGGACUGAGACACGGCCCAGACGCCUACGGGAGGCAGCAGUGGGGAAUUUUGGACAAUGGGCGCAAGCCUGAUCCAGCCAUGCCGCGUGCAGGAUGAAGGCCUUCGGGUUGUAAACUGCUUUUGUACGGAACGAAAAGGUCUGACUUAAUACGUUGGACUCAUGACGGUACCGUAGGAAUAAGCACCGGCUAACUACGUGCCAGCCGCCGCCGUAA
rnacentral:rRNA from 1 species